GACGAACGCUGGCGGCGUGCUUAACACAUGCAAGUCGAACGGAAAGGCCCUGCUUUUGUGGGGUGCUCGAGUGGCGAACGGGUGAGUAACGCGUGAGUAACCUGCCCUUGACUUUGGGAUAACUUCAGGAAACUGGGGCUAAUACCGGAUAGGAGCUCCUGCUGCAUGGUGGGGGUUGGAAAGUUUCGGCGGUUGGGGAUGGACUCGCGGCUUAUCAGCUUGUUGGUGGGGUAGUGGCUUACCAAGGCUUUGACGGGUAGCCGGCCUGAGAGGGUGACCGGCCACAUUGGGACUGAGAUACGGCCCAGACUCCUACGGGAGGCAGCAGUGGGGAAUAUUGCACAAUGGGCGGAAGCCUGAUGCAGCAACGCCGCGUGCGGGAUGACGGCCUUCGGGUUGUAAACCGCUUUCGCCUGUGACGAAGCGUGAGUGACGGUAAUGGGUAAAGAAGCACCGGCUAACUACGUGCCAGCAGCCGCGGUGAUACGUAGGGUGCGAGCGUUGUCCGGAUUUAUUGGGCGUAAAGGGCUCGUAGGUGGUUGAUCGCGUCGGAAGUGUAAUCUUGGGGCUUAACCCUGAGCGUGCUUUCGAUACGGGUUGACUUGAGGAAGGUAGGGGAGAAUGGAAUUCCUGGUGGAGCGGUGGAAUGCGCAGAUAUCAGGAGGAACACCAGUGGCGAAGGCGGUUCUCUGGGCCUUUCCUGACGCUGAGGAGCGAAAGCGUGGGGAGCGAACAGGCUUAGAUACCCUGGUAGUCCACGCUGUAAACGGUGGGUACUAGGUGUGGGGUCCAUUCCACGGGUUCCACGCCGUAGCUAACGCUUUAAGUACCCCGCCUGGGGAGUACGGCCGCAAGGCUAAAACUCAAAGGAAUUGACGGGGCCCCGCACAAGCGGCGGAGCAUGCGGAUUAAUUCGAUGCAACGCGUAGAACCUUACCUGGGUUUGACAUGGAUCGGGAGUGCUCAGAGAUGGGUGUGCCUCUUUUGGGGUCGGUUCACAGGUGGUGCAUGGCUGUCGUCAGCUCGUGUCGUGAGAUGUUGGGUUAAGUCCCGCAACGAGCGCAACCCUUGUUCACUGUUGCCAGCACGUUAUGGUGGGGACUCAGUGGAGACCGCCGGGGUCAACUCGGAGGAAGAUGGGGAUGACGUCAAGUCAUCAUGCCCCUUACGAGUAGGGGGACACACGUGCUACAUUGGCUGGUACAGAGGGAAGCGAGCCUGUGAGCGGGAGAGAAUCUCACAAAGAACGUCUAAGUCCGGAGUGGAGUGUGUAACUCUACUCCACAGAAGUUGGGAUCGGUUGUAAUUGCAAAUCAGCCACGUUGCGGUGAAUACGUUCCCGGGCUU
rnacentral:rRNA from 1 species